rnacentral:rRNA from 1 species
UACAGAGGGUGCAAGCGUUAAUCGGAAUUACUGGGCGUAAAGCGCGCGUAGGUGGUUCGUUAAGUUGGAUGUGAAAGCCCCCGGCUCAACUGGGGAGGGUCAUCGGUAACGGUCGUGCUAUGAGUGCAGGAGAGGGAAGUGGAACUCCGGGAGUAGCGGUGAAAUGCGUAGAGACCCGGAGGAACACCAGUGGCGAAGGCGGCUUCCUGGUCUGCGACUGACGCUGUGGCGCGAAAGCUAGGGGAGCAAACGGG